GAUGAACGCUAGCGGCAGGCUUAACACAUGCAAGUCGAGGGGUAUAGUAGCAAUACUAGAGACCGGCGCACGGGUGCGUAACGCGUAUGCAAUCUACCUUUUGCAGAGGGAUAGCCCAGAGAAAUUUGGAUUAAUACCUCAUAGUAUAGCGACAUCGCAUGAUGAUGCUAUUAAAGUCACAACGGCAAAAGAUGAGCAUGCGUCCCAUUAGCUAGUUGGUAAGGUAACGGCUUACCAAGGCAACGAUGGGUAGGGGUCCUGAGAGGGAGAUCCCCCACACUGGUACUGAGACACGGACCAGACUCCUACGGGAGGCAGCAGUGAGGAAUAUUGGACAAUGGGCGCAAGCCUGAUCCAGCCAUGCCGCGUGCAGGAUGACGGUCCUAUGGAUUGUAAACUGCUUUUAUACAGGAAGAAACACUGGUUCGUGAACCAGCUUGACGGUACUGUAAGAAUAAGGAUCGGCUAACUCCGUG
rnacentral:rRNA from 1 species